ensembl:lncRNA
GAUUCGAGACACACAGAUGUUCCAUGGGUCCUCAGGGAAUAAUAUAAAGCCACUGAAAUUAAAUACAUUUCGGCUUAAUCUUCAACUUCAUUAAGAGGUUCUUUGAAUACACAGAGGGACUUCUGUAGUGAGCCCUACAUUCUCAAUUGUACUUUUGUGUACAGUAGGGUCGCAGAAGGGAACAUUAACACAGAGAGAUCAUGGAAACGUAAACAUCCUCUCUAACUAAUAUCUUAACUCCAAGUCAAUAUCUUCCCGUUUCAUGAAAACAGUUUUUCAUGUAGUUUAUGUAGAUUAGUAUUUACUGUGGUUCUUCUGUGACUUUCUUUGGAACUGUUUUCUUUAAAGGAGCAAAAACAGACAAUGCCUGUCUAAAGUGUAAGUUAUUAACUUUUUGUUAAUCAAACUGUCAUGGAAUCAAAAUCACCACAUUUUCAAUCGUGCUGAAAAUUUUAAAGAAAUCACCCUCCCAAAAUUGCUUUACUAAUAUGUCAUCAAUAUAAAAUCAGAAACUUGUAAAUUCAAGGACUGAAAUAACAUUAAUUCCAUUACAAUAAAGAAAACAAUGUAAAAUGAUUAUUAUUAUUAAUGUAAUGUUGUAUUAAUGUAUUAUUAAUUAUUAAUGUACUCAAACUGAAUUAAUUACUGAAAUAGGUCUGCUUGUGAAGGGAGGAGCUACUGGAGGAGUUUAUUCACACUCACUGCAGAGUUUCACUACAGAACGACGCUUCAUUCAAUAUUUCAAGAGUGUCAGGACUUUAUCAUUGUAAUAUUUCUCUUGUGAAGCUGUUAGGAGAUCUGCUGAAGAAAAUGUUUGACAUGUUUAUUUUCUCCUUUUUGUUCUCAUGGAAUCUGGCUGGUGUGUUUGGUGUUGAUUCAGUGAAGUCAGUGUCAGUGACGGAGGGAGAAUCACUAAAAUCAAUGUGAAGGACAGUAAGAGCAGGUUUUAUGAGGAUAAUGCUGAUGGUAGAUUCAGAGACAGACUGAAGCUGGAUCAGACUGGAUCUCUGAUCAUCACAAACACCAGAACCACAGACUCUGGAGAAUAUAAAGUCACCAGCAGAAGCUCAAAGAUCCCACUCAACAUCUUCAGUCUUACUGUCUAUGGUGAGUAGAGAAUUACUUACCCGCUUUUUUAAAACAUAUUUUGACAAUAAUCUCUUUCAGAAUUAUUAAGAAUACUGCCAAAUGAUAGACAAUCCUGUAAUGAUAGAUUCAUAUUCAUGUGCAAUUGAUG